UACGAAGGGGGCUAGCGUUGUCCGGAAUUACUGGGCGUAAAGCGCGCGCAGGCGGCCAUUCAAGUCAGGGGUGAAAGCCCAGAGCUCAACUCUGGAACUGCCCUUGAAACUGUAUGGCUUGAGUAUGAGAGAGGUGAGUGGAAUUCCCAGUGUAGAGGUGAAAUUCGUAGAUAUUGGGAAGAACACCGGUGGCGAAGGCGGCUCACUGGCUCAUUACUGACGCUCAGGCGCGACAGCGUGGGGAGUCAAACAGG
rnacentral:rRNA from 1 species